UUUUCCAGGCACAACAGACCAAAAAUACUCCUAAUCUACGCAAUUCAAGAAAUAAAAAUAGCCUCUCCAAUACAGUAAAAUUGGAGAUGCUAUUCCAUACUGUGGAAAGCCACUUAAGCCACUAAAAAAUACCUAAUUGUUAAUGUGGUGGUGGUUGUUGUGCACAACAGAGCCACUAGAUGGCAGGCAAGGAUCAUGCGUGUGGGUGACUGCUUUAGUAAAGUGUAACGAAGAAGAAAAAACCAUCAGGUGUCUGUCAUUAGCUGAUAGCAUUAAUGGCGUUUUGUCAAUAAUCCAAGAUUGUAACAUCCAGCCAUCUAUUUCUUACCGCUUGUCCCUUUUGGGGCGGGGUGGUGCAGGAGCCUAUCUCAGAGACAUUCGGGCGGAAGUCUGCAUACACCCUGGACAAGUCGGCGUAACAUAACAGACCAGGGGUCUCAAACUCAUUUGACCUUGGGCCCCCUGGAAGUUGGUGCUGGCUUAGUCCCGCUAAGAAUGACAUCUUCACCUCUUGGUUUAGGUGCAAAGGACAUGCUCAGAAAGACUUGCCCAAGGGGAGAAAGAGUGAUCGGGGAAGAAGGAGCAGGACAACCAGCAACAGAACCUGAAGACAGAGAACGACCAAGAGCGUGUGGAAGACAGCGACGAAGAUGCAGGCGACUGAAGGCGAGAGAGGAGCGAGCAGGAUUGGAGGCGCUAAAUACUUAUCAGAGCAAAAGAUGGAAGCUUUCUUGAAAAAUAAAAGAGUCAAACCUGCUCAGCGAUGGCUGUCCUCAAUGAUCCAUGCAACCCACAAGAUGACAGCAGGAAGUCGUAUACACGUGUAUUUAUGUAUAUACAUGAAUGUGAUAUAGAUGUUUGUGUGUUUGUAAGUAAAUAAAUAACUAUACAUGUAUUUAUGUAUAUGCAUGUACAGUGGGGCAAAAAAUUAAUUUAGUCAUCCAGCGAUUGUGCAAGUUCUCCCACUUAAAAUGAUGACAGAGGUCUGUAAUUUUCAUCAUAGGUACACUUCAACUGUGAGAGAGAAUGUGUAUACAAAUGGGUAAUUGUAAACAUAUAUGUAUGUACGUGUACGCAUGUAGGUGUGUGUGUAUAUUACAUUUACGUAUAUGGGUAUAAACAUAAAUAUAUAUACAUAUGGGUAUGUAUGUAAACAUGGGAGUAUUACUGUAAAUGAAUGUAUUUGUACACAUAUGUAUGUGUACUUGUAUAUGCAUGUAUAAGGAAUUCACAUUGUAGAAAUAAAAAAAAUAAAAAAUGUAAAU